rnacentral:misc_RNA from 1 species
GAUGAAGACCGCAGCGAAAUGCGAUAAGUAAUGUGAAUUGCAGAAUUCAGUGAAUCAUCGAAUCUUUGAACGCACAUUGCGCCCGCCAGUAUUCUGGCGAGCAUGCCUGUUCGAGCGUCAUUUCAACCAUCAAGCCCCAGGCUUGUGUUGGAGCCCUGCGGCUGCCGCAGCCUCCCAAAACCAGUGGCGGGCUCGCUAUCACACCGAGUGCAGUAGUUUACUCUUCGCUCAGGGCGUGUGGCGGGUGCUAGCCGUGAAACCCCCAACUUCUCAAGGUUGACCUCGGAUCAGGUAGGAAUACCCGCUGAACUUAAGCAUAUCAAUAAGCGGAGGA